AACCCUUGACAUGGUGGUCGCGGGAAGCAGAGAAGCAUCCCUUCAGUUCGGCUGGACCACACAC
rnacentral:rRNA from 1 species